GACCUAGGACCCCUAGACAUAAUGAGUCUGGUUACAGACCAUGUAAUUAGGCCUAGGACCCCUAGACAUAAUGAGUCUGGUUACAGACCAUGUAAUUAGGCCUAGGACCCCUAGACAUAAUGAGUCUGGUUACAGACCAUGUAAUUAGACCUAGGACCCCUAGACAUAACGAGUCUGGUUACAGACCAUGUAAUUAGGCCUAGGACCCCUAGACAUAACGAGUCUGGUUACAGACCAUGUAAUUAGACCUAGGACCCCUAGACAUAAUGAGUCUGGUUACAGACCAUGUAAUUAGACCUAGGACCCCUAGACAUAAUGAGUCUGGUUACAGACCAUGUAAUUAGACCUAGGACCCCUAGACAUAACGAGUCUGGUUACAGACCAUGUAAUUAGGCCUAGGACCCCUAGACAUAAC